rnacentral:rRNA from 1 species
CCUACGGGGGGCAGCAGUAGGGAAUUUUUCACAAUGGACGAAAGCCUGAUGGAGCACUGCCGCGUGAAUGAUGAAGGUCUUAUAGAUUGUAAAAUUCUUUGAUUUGGGAAGAAAAACGAAAGUAGGAAAUGACUUUAGUCUGACUGUACCAUUUUAAUAAGUAUCGGCUAACUCUGUGCCAGCAGCCGCGGUAAUACAUAGGAUGCAAGCGUUAUUCGGACUUACUGGGCGUAAAGCGAGCGCAGGCGGGUUAACAAGGUUGUUAUGAAAGGCUUUUGCUUAACCAAAGUUUGUAUCAAAAACUGUUAAUCGAGAGUGUAGGAGAGAGAUCUGGAAUGCCAUGUGGAGCGGUGGAAUGCGUAGAUA